CUGUGAACUGAUCAGAUAGCCUGAGUCAAUGUGGUGGGCAGAUAAAAGCUACAUUUUUCAAGUAAAGAAGAGGUCGGGUCUCAGUGUUCUAAUGGACGUUUCAUGUAUCCUAGUUAGAGCUCAUAUUUGCCUAUUUCCUGUUGCACGAUGAAUUGAACUGCUAGCUUAGGUUAGUAGAGGUGAACAUAUUGUUAUUUUCUGUUAUUUUCUUUAUUUCUGGUUUUAUGUUUGUGUAUGGUUUUACCUUUCUUGUGGUGAUGCGUGUGAGCUUCAGGUGAUGACAACAUUACGUGACAUGAUUAUUAGCUCUCCUUACAGUUUCGUGAAUGUGUUUUUUUUUUUGAUACUUGUACUUUCAAAUGUACUGUAGUACUGAAGAGUUAUGUGUGUGGGGAAUGAUUCUUCCUUGAUUCUUUGGAAUGCUCGUACCGGCACAGUCCAACUGUCAAGUUGUGCUUCUACUGGAAAUUUCUCCUCCAUUGCUUCUUUACAGGGAGAAGUUUGGCCACAUGAUUCUGCAGGGAACCAGUUGCUGAGGUUUUACAAUGGUUGGCAGACAUACAACUAAUUCACUGGCAAGAUGCAGCUAAGAAAACUUGCUGAGCCUGGACUUGUCUUAACGGACUCUUUACUAGGAUUAAUUAUAGCUACCAUCCAAAUUGAAAUUGUCAAAUUAUUUCUAUGCACAGGUACUCGAUUGAUAAGUGUCGGCUCAGUUCAUCAUCAUCGGAGUUUAUAAUUUUGCUGUUUAAUCAAUAGUUUUUUAGUUCAUCGUUUUGGAAUUGAAUCCUAGAACUAUAGAUUACACUGGUCAGAACUAUAGAUUUUAAUCCUUUGUGUAAUUUGAAACCAAUGA